rnacentral:rRNA from 1 species
UACGGAGGGUGCAAGCGUUGCUCGGAAUUAUUGGGCGUAAAGCGCACGUAGGCGGCCGACUAAGUCGGGUGUGAAAGCCCAGGGCUCAACCCUGGAAGUGCACUCGAAACUGACCGGCUUGAAUAUGGAAGAGGGUCGCGGAAUUCCCGGUGUAGAGGUGAAAUUCGUAGAGAUCGGGAGGAACACCAGAGGCGAAAGCGGCGACCUGGACAGAUACUGACACUCAACUACGAAAGCGUGGGGAGCAAACAGG